rnacentral:antisense_RNA from 1 species
ACUUUACCGUGCAGCAGAAUCCUCUGGGGAGCUCUUCACAAUGUAGAUUUCUGGGCAUCACCCAUCUACAAAUUCAGACUCUUGAGGUGAAACCAGGAAUCUGCAGUUAAAGGCUCCCAGGUGACUUGGGUUCAGGUGGCUUUCAGACCACUCAUGGGGAAACACUACUUCAGGGGUGCCCCUUGCAGUAGUGCCUCUAUCUCCUCACCUGCACCGACUGGACCAGGUGUCACCCACACUUUCCUCGGUAUCUUGCACAUCAGUCCCCUUGUAUCCAUUCUAAGACUCUCACCCCACUUCUGUCCGUGUUAACUCAUGUUCAUUCCCAACAGACUCAUCCCCAGGCUCUCCCCCAACAACCCAUCCUUUUCUGCAACCCCUCCACUACCCUCACACACACACCAGGCUAAUCUUUCUCUUUCCAGUGUCUUAGACCUACUAGUGACUUCUUGGCCACCGUUGGUGCUCCUGUUGAAUAUAACCGCAGAUGCCAAGGGCCACAGCCGAGGAAGUGGAAAAUCUGCACGGGCCCAGUAAGGCUCUAUCUAAAAGACAGAAAAGGGCCCAUUUAGGAAGGAGUUGCCUUUCAACAGGCAACCAGGCACAGGCAGAAGAGACAUUAGAGCUUGGUAACAAGGGACACACAGAGUUGGCAGCACAAAGGGCCUGGGCCUCUGAAGGUUGGAUGACCAAGCUCAUCAUCCAUCCAGGGAUGACCGAGCCUGCGCCCUAGACUAUCGGCCUCCCACAGCAGCCAGUCCAUCUGCCCAGUAGUCCCUGGGCACCCAGGAAUGCAGCCUACACGGCAUGAGUGGGCAGGCUGGGGGUAUGUGUGGCAGGAACAGAAUUGGGGUUCUUGGGGAGGUUUUUUCCACUUAAAACUCUUUUUGUCGCCUACGUCUCCAGACAUUUAAAGACUUCUGAGCUAUUUUCAGACCUACUAUGAAAAGAACUGAGGUGCUAGCAGUCAGACACCCAUCGAACUGUUUCCUAAGAGGAGAACUGGCAUGACUCACUUUUGAUCUGUCAGCUUUGUAUUGAUUUUUCUGGCAAACUUUGUAGGUCUGCCCAGGGUUGACUCCACCAGGAGCGGCUACAUUAUAACCCACUGCGUCCAGAGUCGGUCAUUACAAAGGCCUCCAUCACAGGAUCGGAUUCUGCAUUUCUUUUUGUGGGAAUGUGGGAGGAGAGGAGGGAAACCACAAUCCAUAAAACCAAGGGUGUCCCUGGGCUUCCCCACUGCCUGCUGAAGGGAAGCCAGGCAGCUCUCUUCAUGCCUCUCCUGGGCUGGGGACUGAGGGCUGCUUUUGGAAAGAGGGGCUGGUGGGAGCUGACAGAGGCCCAGAGGCAAACCAGUUCCACCCUGGCCUUUCCUCUACACUGGGAACUGGGGAGCCAGCGAUUGGAGGCUCAGAAGGAGGAUGGUGAGGUUUUAUGCACAGUUUAAAUAUAUUGCUAUGUAAUUUUCCAAUUUUAAAACAUGAGAUCACUGAUUAUUCAGUAGCUUCCCCAUUUUUUUACAAAGCCCUCCUGUGUGUAUGUUUGUGUGUGCGUGUGUGUGUUUAAAGCCUUUUCAGUCAAACUGAGAUAUCCUACCGAACUUCCAUUGUUCCUGAGCCCCCAUGAGAAUGUGUAGAUGUGUGUCAGAGCUUUAGAGCCUGCAAGGAGCUCCUGAGUCUGAGGACUCACUCGUGCUGAUAUUUCAGGGAAGAGCUUGAUGCCUAGAAACUGGAAUGUGCAGAUCUUACAUAUUCAGAGACUGGAGUGCUGGCCUCAGCAAACAAUGCCAGGAGAAGAACCAAGAGGUGGAACCACGUCAACCAGGAGCCAUGUUUCGCUGAGGGCAAAGCCAUUUGCCAGGCCCUGUGCUGGCUGCCCUAGCCCUCAGUGCCUCCCCCCAACUUUCCUGUGGGUGCCCUCAGGUGAAACGGCCCCUCAGACAGCCCCUCAGGAGCAGGUUUGACAUGUCACUGAGAGAUGCAUAUGUGUGUGUGUGCCUGCGUGCAUGUGUGUAUCUAUGUGUGUGUAUGUGGGUCUCUGUGUCUGUGAGUCUGUGUGUGUGUGUGUGUGUGUCCAUUAUGUCUGUGUGCCUGGAUGUCUGUCUGUGUGUUUCUGUGUGGCCAUAUGGAUGUCUAUGAGUCUUGUGUAUAUCUGUGUGUGCAUGUGUGUAUGUGUCUGUGUGUGAAUCUCUGUGUCCAUGUGUCUGAGUGUAUGCAUGUGGGUGUGUCUGUGCCUCUGUGUGUGUCUGUGAACAUGGGGGUGGAAUGGAAGGGGACAGCCUCACCCGUGGGGAGAAGGGGAUGGAAACAGCUGCUCUCCAGGGCUCCUGAUAGACAUCACUUCCACAGAGAGGCUUUCUCUGCACUCCUUCCAAUUUAAAUUCUGCUUUCUGCCAGCCAAUGUCUCUCUCUCGUGUUGUCUCACUGCAUCCAAUGCUUUUCCUUCUUAGCUGUUAUUGUAAUUUGUCAUUUUUAUUUAUUGGGUGAUGUCUGUCACCCCUGCUAGUCUGGAAGCUCCAUGGAUACAGGGAUAUUUUAUCUCCAGUGCCCAACACAAUGCCUGCCACAGAAUAAAUGCUGACAAAUAAUAAAUGAAACGAGGUCAGAAGGGCCUUGUCAUUGCCCUUCUGGAU